AGGAGCAGCACUGCAUCCCUUUGGAACGAUCUGUGCCACUCGGGAACGUGUCAGCAGCCAGGUGUGGAGGUUCUGCACGGUGAAGUUCUUCUCUGAGCAGCCCCUUUUCUCAAGGAAGCUCCAAGGAAGCAGUUUUUUCUGGAAACUGCCCCACGGUGGAGUUGUGCCUUCUGGGUCAGAGAUGAAAGGAGCUGGCCUGUAACCUCGUGAAACCGAAGCCCUUUUUUUCCGAAGGACUCUUAAAUCCCAGGAGAAUCUCUGUAAUAAACAUCUGUUCUGGCUACACCAGGCAUAGCAAUGGGUGGCUGCUGUGAUCCUGUGUGUGUUUAGAGGGGGCUCCUCGAUUAACCACAAUUCCUGGGCCACCUGGUGACACCUUUUAAUGGA